rnacentral:rRNA from 1 species
AACGAACGCUGGCGGCAUGCCUAACACAUGCAAGUCGAACGAGACCUUCGGGUCUAGUGGCGCACGGGUGCGUAACGCGUGGGAACCUGCCCUUAGGUUCGGAAUAACUCCCCGAAAGGGGUGCUAAUACCGGAUAAUGUCUUCGGACCAAAGAUUUAUCGCCUUUGGAUGGGCCCGCGUUGGAUUAGCUAGUUGGUAGGGUAAAAGCCUACCAAGGCGACGAUCCAUAGCUGGUCUGAGAGGAUGAUCAGCCACACUGGGACUGAGACACGGCCCAGACUCCUACGGGAGGCAGCAGUGGGGAAUAUUGGACAAUGGGCGAAAGCCUGAUCCAGCGAUGCCGCGUGAAUGAUGAAGGCCUUCGGGAUGUAAAGCUCUAUUAGCCGGGAUGAUAAUGACAGUACCGGGAGAAUAAGCUCCGGCUAACUACGUG